AGUGGCAGACGGGUGAGUAACGCGUGGGAAUCUACCCAGUUCUCUGGAAUAACUGAUGGAAACGUCAGCUAAUACCGGAUACGCCCUUUUGGGGAAAGAUUUAUCGGGAUUGGAUGAGCCCGCGUAAGAUUAGCUAGUUGGUGGGGUAAUGGCCUACCAAGGCGACGAUCUUUAGCUGGUCUGAGAGGAUGAUCAGCCACACUGGGACUGAGACACGGCCCAGACUCCUACGGGAGGCAGCAGUGGGGAAUAUUGGACAAUGGGGGCAACCCUGAUCCAGCCAUGCCGCGUGAGUGAUGAAGGCCUUAGGGUUGUAAAGCUCUUUCACCGGUGAAGAUAAUGACGGUAACCGGAGAAGAAGCCCCGGCUAACUUCGUGCCAGCAGCCGCGGUAAUACGAAGGGGGCUAGCGUUGUUCGGAAUUACUGGGCGUAAAGCGCACGUAGGCGGAUAUUUAAGUCAGGGGUGAAAUCCCGGAGCUCAACUCCGGAACUGCCUUUGAUACUGGAUAUCUAGAGACCGAGAGAGGUAAGUGGAACUCCUAGUGUAGAGGUGGAAUUCGUAGAUAUUAGGAAGAACACCAGUGGCGAAGGCGGCUUAC
rnacentral:rRNA from 1 species